UACAGAGGGUGCAAGCGUUGUUCGGAAUUAUUGGGCGUAAAGCGCGUGUAGGCGGCUUUGCAAGUCGGGUGUGAAAGCCCUCGGCUCAACCGAGGAAGUGCGCCCGGAAACUGCAGAGCUUGAGUACCGGAGAGGAUGGCGGAAUUCCCCAAGUAGAGGUGAAAUUCGUAGAUAUGGGGAGGAACACCGGUGGCGAAGGCGGCCAUCUGGACGGAUACUGACGCUGAGACGCGAAAGCGUGGGGAGCGAACAGG
rnacentral:rRNA from 1 species